CGGUAAUGCAAAGGAGCCAUUCAUCCAGGUCUCAGCUGAGGACUCCAGUGCAGGUGUUGCAAGACAGCAGACGUAGCACUGCUUAUGUGUAUCCUGAAGUCCCAUGUGUAUCCUGAAGUCCCAGAAAGCUGCUUCAAGUAGAUUCCAGUGGAGAAGGGAGUCACCAAGGCUGGACAGUCAUUUAUCCAUGGCAGGACUAGCAAAAAAAUCUGCACCAUCUCUCAUCGCACACACGUGGGUAAGGUUUGGACUGGUAUGAUCUUUUUCCAUAAUGUCAUUUUCGUGAUUUCUUAACUGAGAAUAUAAUAGUAAAUACCAAUCUCACAGAAUUGUUAUGAGGAAUGCAGAAACUUAAUCAAAUUACUUAAUUGUUAUUUUCAUUUCUUAUUAAUUUGUUCCCAUUGAAAUUAAUGUUAUGUCUGGUCUCAUUUUAAAUUAUUUAUCGUUCUGAAUUUGGAUCCCAUCCUCAAGUUUUCAAUGCUUGACUUUUUAUGAAUUCUUGUAUUAUACCUCAAAUUUAAUAAAAUCCUUUUAAUCUUGUCUUCACCCUAGCACUGUCUAUACUGUCCCCUGGGUGGAAGUUUCCCAUCAUUCUAAUUACUUUUGUACACAAAUUUGACUUCUCUCUCCAGCCCCUGUGAGAAACAUGUCCUUUCUGUUACACAGGGAGUAGGUGAAGGCCUUUGGACUUCCUAUUUUUCCUAUAUGAAACUCUCUUCUUUCAGAUAUCAGAAUUUUCCUCUCUCUCUUUCAUUCAGAACUCUGCUAGACAAUCAUCUUACCAGAAAGAUUUUUAUUCAUCACCCUGUGCUAAAUAACAUUGGUACUAUGCUGGACUGAGCUACUAUUUUUCCUUGAAUCCUGCUGUAGGCUUUUCUUCAGACACUUACCAUCACCAGGCGUAAUGUGAAUGUGUUUGUUCAUUGCAUGUCUUCUCCACGUGAAUGGAAACUUCAUGACAAGAAUGUGUUCCAGGGCUGGGCGCCGCGGCUCACGUCUGGAAUCCCAGCACAUUGGGAGGCCGAGGCGGGCGGAUCACAAGGUCAGGAGCUCAAGACCAGCCUGACCAAUGUAGUGAAACCCCGUCUCUACUAAAAAUACAAAAAUUAGCCUGGCUUCUGUAAUCCCAGCUACUCGGAGGCUGAGGCAGGAGAAUUGCUUGAACCCUAGAGGUGGAGGUUGCAGUGAGCCGAGAUCACUCAAGAAAAAAAAAAUAAAAGAAUGUUUUCCUUCACCUCUGAAUCCCUAGUGUAUAGGGGAGAGCCUGGAACAGAGUAGGGGUUCCAUAAGCCAAUCAAAUAAAUGACUGAAAAAGAGUUAAGGGACAAGGUCAAACAAAAAGAGCUAAUUUAACUGCUAAACGAUUAUUCUAUUUAGGCCAAUUGGUAACCCAUGACUGCUUGUAAAAUUCAAUUUCAUUGAAUGGGACAUAUUUCAAACAUAAACAUAGGUUUUUUUAAUGAAUAUAACUGAACUGCAGAUUGCAAUCAAGAUGUUCCCUCCCUUUCUCAUUUAGAUUUCUCAUCUUAUUAGCCAUCACUGACCCUCCUCUAGUGGUUAAAUGCUUAGUUUGGGACAUUAUCUCAGCCAUACCCUCAGAAUGGUUGAUUCAGUGGUUCGUUGCCCAUGUGUGCUGUGAUGUCAACAGGCUGUUGAAUGCUGAGGGCAAUCUCAUAUUUGGCUAAUGAUGGUUCUUCAGAAAGCAACACCCUUCAGAUUAGUUCAGCAGGGUUCAACUUUGUGGUGACCACAGUUGGGCUGAGCAGGCUGCAUGUCAGGCAGAGCUGUCAGUCUGCUCCAGCCAAGAGUGGAGUGGGCACUUCUUGGGAUUUGGAUAAGGAAACAUUUGUCUGAGCAGUUUUACCACCUUAAUAUGGGUUUGAUUCUUCUAUUUGUAUACAGAGUAAGCCAAAUUAAAAAAUGAAAAGAAAAAAGAACCAGUUCAUUUAAUCAAGACAUGCUAGUGGUUAGUCAUCUUUUAUAACAACCACAUCGAUAAUUCACCUUUUUCAUUUUCAAAUUAGUUUUUGGUUGUUUUGUAGACAGAGAGCCUUAGCCAUAAAUUAAAAGUAAUGAUAAUUAGCCACAUGUUCUUCAUUAUGUUGAGGGCUUUGAACAUUUCUUCACAUAGCUAUUAGACAUGUCAGCCACAUGUAGGAAAAGGAACUAUAGAAUUUCGUAAUUUUUUUUUUUUUUGGAAAAAUGAGCAACAGAAUUUUAAGGCAGAAACGUGAAAUGCGAGUGAUGGCAAGUCCCAGUGAAGUGGAGAAUAGCAUGCUUUAUGUGAAUGUCUGAUAUUUGUUUUCUCAGUGCUUUUGAUCUCAGAACACCUAACAGGACUGGGGCAGAAGCUUUUUGCUGACUUGUUGCAUCAGUGCUAAAGAUGAAAGGAAACAGUCUUCAUAUUCGCCGUGGUGUUGAUUGCCCUAUAAAUAGGAAACUACCCAGUUAACCUUGCCUGUUGUCAUACGGAGAGUUUUAUUAAAAAAUAAACAGUGCGUGGCGGGUAGCAGAAUGUGGGAUUUCUGCUUAGAUGCCCGCAAUUCUUUCAUAUACUUCAUUAAAAUGUGCAGGAGAACUUCAGAGCCAUGAAUAAAAAUAUUGUUAUGGAAACUGAGGCCUGUUAUCAUAGCUUCAGUGAUUUGCAAUGAUUAUUUAAUGAAUGAGUUUAUGUUUGAAAAUAUCCCCUGUGAUAAUAUGAAUUUAUCGCUCCCCCCUACCCCUCCGAUUUCUUUUAUUUUGACACAUAUGGAAGAUGCUGUUUUGUUUUGACACUCAGAGGAGAUGCUCUUUUUAUCAAAAAUCACUGAACAGUAAUGAGAUUUUAGUGAACAAUCUUACCAGACUUCCCGAACAUAAAGAAAUCUGAUACUGAGGAGUGCACAGUGUUCUAUAAUAAGUAAUCUUAGGUGUGUGCAUGCUUUUCAGUGGCAGUAUUCAUUUUUCACGAGUUUUGUAUUUGAUCUUACCGGGAUUUGAUGUAAGAAGACUUGGGUAGCUCUUGUGUAGACACAAAGAACAGAGAGGACAUCCAUAAAGCCAUAGAGACAGGAUCCCAACCACAGUGUGAGGAGAAACUGAUGACUAUGCCAGGCAUACAGCACCAUCUCUUCAGCCUAAGAGCAGGGGGUUUACCAAGCUCACCAAAACAACUUACCAUUCCUCUUUCCGCGUGAUUGGAACUCAUCUUCCUCCUCAGAGGGUGCAGAGAUGAAUUUAGAAGGAAGUUUGAAGAGCCCAUGGUGUCCAGAACUCAGGCCUGCUUGCAAAUGAGUGGCUCUGGGACUGUCUUUCCACAUCUCCAGGAGCCUAUUUUCCGGGAGGAAAAUGAGAGCACUGUUCAGAAGUACUGGAAGGAACCUGCCAACAUUGAGUUUCUUGAGAGUCUCUGAAGUUAGUUCUUCUAAUUUUUAGUACCCUGACAAUUUCAUGCAAGUUAGUAACUUUUGCAUACUUCAGUUUUCUCAUCUGUAAAAUUGGGGUAAUGAUAAUAUCUACCACCCUCACAGACACACCCAGGAUUAAUACUUUGCAUCCUUCAAUCCAAUCAAGUUGAUACUCAGUAUUAACUAUCACAUGGUCCCUGAAAAUUUUAUUUUAUUCUGAUUUGGGAAUAAAAAAGCUUUCUCUUUGAC
rnacentral:lncRNA from 10 species